GACGGGGCCCGCACAAGCGGUGGAGCAUGUGGUUUAAUUCGACGCAACGCGAAGAACCUUACCUGGGCUUGAACGGCCGGUGGUACGGACCCGAAAGGGCGAGGACCCAGGUUUCCUGGGAGCCGGCAGAGGUGCUGCAUGGCUGUCGUCAGCUCGUGUCGUGAGAUGUUGGGUUAAGUCCCGCAACGAGCGCGACCCCUGCAUUCAGUUGCCAACGGUAAGGCCGGGCACUCUGGAUGGACUGCCGGCGACAAGCCGGAGGAAGGUGGGAUGACGUCAAAUCAUCAUGCCCCUUAUGUUCUGGGCUACACACGUGCUACAAUGGCCGGUACAGACGGACGCAAAGCCGCGAGGUGGAGCAAAUCCGAAAAAGCCGGUCUCAGUUCGGAUUGCAGGCUGCAAUUCGCCUGCAUGAAGUCGGAAUCGCUAGUAAUCGCAGGUCAGCAUACUGCGGUGAAUACGUUCCCGGGCCUU
rnacentral:rRNA from 1 species